rnacentral:rRNA from 1 species
GACGAACGCUGGCGGCGUGCCUAAUACAUGCAAGUAGAACGCUGAAGGAGGAGCUUGCUUCUCUGGAUGAGUUGCGAACGGGUGAGUAACGCGUAGGUAACCUGCCUGGUAGCGGGGGAUAACUAUUGGAAACGAUAGCUAAUACCGCAUAAGAGUAGAUGUUGCAUGACAUUUGCUUAAAAGGUGCAAUUGCAUCACUACCAGAUGGACCUGCGUUGUAUUAGCUAGUUGGUGGGGUAACGGCUCACCAAGGCGACGAUACAUAGCCGACCUGAGAGGGUGAUCGGCCACACUGGGACUGAGGCACGGCCCAGACUCCUACGGGAGGCAGCAGUAGGGAAUCUUCGGCAAUGGACGGAAGUCUGACCGAGCAAAGCCGCGUGAGGGAAGAAGGUUUUCGGAUCGUAAAGCUCUGUUGUAAGAGAAGAACGAGUGUGAGAGUGGAAAGUUCACACUGUGACGGUAUCUUACCAGAAAGGGACGGCUAACUACGUG